AGUCUGCAGUCUCGUCACGGCCCUGAGCUGCCUGUGUCCAGGGUGAUUGAGACUUGCAGAGAGAACAGUCGCACAGAGGAAGCCGAGAUAUGACUGUGAUAGUAUCAGCAAGUCCAUGUGCUAUAUUCCUCUGACAUUCCCUCUGUUUCCACGGAGAUAAUGACUCUACCCAUGUUAUUAUCAAUCGAGCAACAGAUAGACUAUUGCAGAAUGAUAUUGUUUACAGAAUGAAGUCUUCUUGUAAACACUGACACUGCUACACUU
rnacentral:snoRNA from 1 species